CUCAAGUGGCACAAAGGACACUCCAAUACACAUAUGGGUGGAAUAUGAAGAAGGUUCACAAUGUAUUUAAAGCAGUCCAACUUCAAGCGGUGGGAGGUGUGGAUGGAGAGGAAGGAGGCAGAAGAAUGGGAAGAUUAUGAGGUGCUCAUAGUGACGCUCAGCCAAACUAGGUGAUCAUUAGCCAGACUCAAGAGUUGGUUGCAUAAUUGCUUCCAAAAAUAUGUUUCAAUGGCUCCACAUUAAACUGGAAAGAAGUAUCAAAGGACA